CAGCAGGGAAGUUGCAUUGCAAGAUUGAUAAAGUGGCUGGAGUGUUGGAAACCAAUCGUCCUGAUGCAAAGAAUGCUCUUUACCAGGCAACUAUCAAGCAAGGGGACUUCUUGUUGAAUCGCAUUCAAAAGCUUUCUCGUGUCAUCGAUCUCUGAAUCAGUUAAACCAUCAAGUUUGAAAAUGUUUGGUGGCCUGUAAUUGUUUUUUUCUUCAAUCUCGCGUAACUCUAAUGAUCUCUGAAUCAGUUAAACCAUCAAGCUUGAAAAUGUUUGGUGGCCUGUAAUUGUUUUUUUCUUCAAUCUCGCCUAGCACUAAUCUGGAUGUGAUUUACCUGUUCAUUUCGAGCUCUCGGACUACCAUUUUGUAAUUUAUGAAAUCA
rnacentral:lncRNA from 1 species